rnacentral:lncRNA from 1 species
CGAGAUAGAUCAUCAUUAUCCAGAGAUAAGGAUUCAAAUGGUUAAUUUAAACGUUGUUUAUUGUCUUUGACCUGUAAGAUUAUAGAUUAUAAAGAGAGGAAGGAUGUUAAAGAAUCUGGUUAUAUGACAUUCGAAAUCUUUCCCAUCUGGCUAGAUCAUCAGCUGUGAAAAACCAAUAUGUCAAUUGUUCGUACUUAUCCUUAGAUUUUUCUUCGUAAUUUGCUGUAAGUACUUUCUCGAUGAAAGCAUCUGUGUCUUUAUUUUUCUUCUAACUGUCAAUGAUUAGGUAUUGUCAGUUCCGUAAGUUUUUAUCAACUUCGUAGUAGAGUUCUUGGAAACUAUUCCAGAUUAAUUUUAGAACUUUGGUUGAACAUCAUGUUCACUGCUCGUUCUUGUUACACACCCAGUUUCAUCAGGCAGACUUGCAAAACUCAUUGUGUGACGUGCAUAUGAACAUUUUUGUAGUUGUGAACAUUUAUGAUAUUGUUACAAACGGG